AUUGAACGCUGGCGGCAUGCCUUACACAUGCAAGUCGAACGGUAACAGGUCUUCGGAUGCUGACGAGUGGCGAACGGGUGAGUAAUACAUCGGAACGUGCCCGAUCGUGGGGGAUAACGAAGCGAAAGCUUUGCUAAUACCGCAUAAGAUCUACGGAUGAAAGCAGGGGACCGCAAGGCCUUGCGCGAACGGAGCGGCCGAUGGCAGAUUAGGUAGUUGGUGGGGUAAAGGCCUACCAAGCCGACGAUCUGUAGCUGGUCUGAGAGGACGACCAGCCAAACGGGGACUGAGACACGGCCCAGACUCCUACGGGAGGCAGCAGUGGGGAAUUUUGGACAAUGGGCGUAAGCCUGAUCCAGCAAUGCCGCGUGCAGGAUGAAGGCCUUCGGGUUGUAAACUGCUUUUGUACGGAACGAAACGGCUCUUUCUAAUAAAGAGGGCUAAUGACGGUACCGUAAGAAUAAGCACCGGCUAACUACGUGCCAGCCGCCGCGGUAACAC
rnacentral:rRNA from 1 species